rnacentral:rRNA from 1 species
UUCACAUGGAGGAUCGAUAGUUUCUCCUCACUUCUUGAUAAGGGUGAAGGAUGGACCAACUCCAGUGUGUUUCAGAUCAGGGGGCUUAACUGGUACCUGAUGCUGAACCCAAGGGACAGAAAGAGUGGCGACAAAAAUGAAUAUGUUUCUCUUAAGCUUGUGCUGGCUCAAACAGUAUCUGAGAGAUCCCAUUUGAUCGCGGAGGCAACUUUCAAGUUCCUGAUAUAUGACCAGUCAUAUGGAAAGCACCAUGAAGAGCAUCAAGUGAGCCACAAUUUUCAGGCUGCAAGCGACUCUGGGAUCUCAUGCAUGAUCCCCCUCGCGACGCUUAAGGAGCAGUCCUCUGGAUUCCUUGUCAAAGACAGCUGUGUUUUCGGUAUCGAGUUCAUCAAAGUUGUCGCUGUUGAAAGUAACGGCAUGUCAGAGACGCUGUUUGUUCAGAAGACUAGCAACAUCUGCAGUGACCCGCAAGUCUACACCUGGAACAUUGGUGAUUUCUUUGUGUUGAAGAACCCGAGCACCUCCCCAGAGUUUGAGCUCUGUGGACACAAAUGGUCCAUCGCUCUCUAUCCAUCUGGUUCCGAUAAGAAUGGGAACUACCUCUCCCUGUACCUGAGCACGAAGGUGCCGGAUACAUUCCAUAAGGACUCGGCGAUCCUGGCAGACGUUAGCAUAAGCAUCAAAGACCAGGAAACUGGCAAGCACAUGAAAUUAUCAGGCAGGUUGCAGUUCAACAAUCGCGCCUCGACAUGGGGAUGGGAGAAGUUCAUACUGGAAGACUUCAAGGACUCCUCAAAAGGUUAUCUCGUGAAGACAAAGUGCUGCAUUGAAGCUCAGAUUGCAGUCAUUGGUUCCUCCAAGACGGAGUAG